ACGAACGCUGGCGGCGUGCUUAACACAUGCAAGUCGAACGCUGAAGCUUGGUGCUUGCACUGGGUGGAUGAGUGGCGAACGGGUGAGUAAUACGUGAGUAACCUGCCCUUGACUCUGGGAUAAGCCUGGGAAACUGGGUCUAAUACUGGAUAUGACAUGCCACUGCAUGGUGGUGUGUGGAAAGGGUUUUACUGGUUUUGGAUGGGCUCACGGCCUAUCAGCUUGUUGGUGGGGUAAUGGCCUACCAAGGCGACGACGGGUAGCCGGCCUGAGAGGGUGACCGGCCACACUGGGACUGAGACACGGCCCAGACUCCUACGGGAGGCAGCAGUGGGGAAUAUUGCACAAUGGGCGGAAGCCUGAUGCAGCGACGCCGCGUGAGGGAUGACGGCCUUCGGGUUGUAAACCUCUUUCAGCACGGAUGAAGCGAGAGUGACGGUACGUGCAGAAGAAGCGCCGGCUAACUACGUG
rnacentral:rRNA from 1 species